rnacentral:rRNA from 1 species
UACGUAGGUGGCAAGCGUUGUUCGGAAUUAUUGGGCGUAAAGGGCGCGUAGGCGGUUUGCUAAGUCAGUUGUGAAAGCCCGGGGCUCAACCCCGGAGGGUCGGCUGAUACUGGUGGACUAGAGUACGGAAGAGGUAGCUGGAAUUCCCGGUGUAGCGGUGAAAUGCGCAGAUAUCAGGAGGAACACCGGUGGCGAAGGCGGGUCUCUGGGCCGAUACUGACGCUGAGGAGCGAAAGCGUGGGGAGCAAACAGG